AAAGAAACAGAAGUUUCGAGUACCCCUUCUAAAGAUCAAGGUCGCUACACACGGUGGAAAUCUCUCGGUCUCUCUCCCAACGCGAGAGGCGGUUUCCAGGCGGGCUGCCUCCACUGGUCUCCAUCGCCUCCGGUAAGCCGUCGGGCUCUCGGAGGUGUGCGGGACAGUGUACGACCGCGAGGCGGUUGUAGAUAAUGUUGUUUUAGAAUUUUAUUCUGGCACUGGCGGGCAGGUAGGGGCGACGUCAACGCUGUGGGAUAAGGUUCCCCCUGGCUCCUUUCCCGUCUCCGCGGUGAUCCCUCCGGCCGGUGGCACUGCGGGGUUAGGGAGGUUGGCCUCUCUCUUAUCCGGCGAGGUUUGGUCGGUGAUGGGGGUGCACAAUAGUAUAGAAGUUGGGAUUUGUGGAGAGGGAUUCCCAGAUCAGGUCGCCUCGGACGGCCGACAGCUGCGCACUGUUGCGGGCGAAGUGGUUUGAGUUGCGGCUCCACUCCGUCAUAGGCUGCCGCUGGUCAAGGGAUCACUUGGUCUACCCCAGGCCGAUGCACCAGAACCCUCCCUGGUUCCGUCUUUUGGGGAGGGACUUAUAUGCGGCUCACAAAGCCAUGGAUUGGCGAUGCUGCUCCUCAUGCCCGUUGUCUUGUGGAUGACGGCUAGCACCGGCGAGUGCAGAGAUCAGCGUGCCUGGGUGAAUAAGGAAGAUGAACUGGGCUGUAAGUUACUUUGUUUUCUCUGUCGGCGUUAUUCCCUUUAGUGUUAUCUCUGCCUCUCUAGUUCUCAACCUCCAACGACAUGCCCUUUUUUGUGCUGGCCAUGGAGGCUAGCAGCGGCAGGACUGCCAUGACUAGGCCGCGCAAUAUUUCUAACAGUGUUGAGCUACUCGUUCCCGACAGCUCCGGUGCCAAGCUGCCAAGCAGGUAUGUGUGUGAUGGAUCUUUUAAUUUUAAGUUUGCUUCCUGUUCGAUUAGGUGCAUAUUUCGCAAGAUAAUGUUGUUCUAUCAUGUCUCUGAUUUUGAUUUCGAUUUUGAUUUUUCCUGCAGAUUUCAGGAUAUAGAAGGCAGCUUCAGGAAGGGGUCGCUGACGAGGUGAGACCAUUGCGUCUAUUCUUGUGUUAGUUUGUUUCAAAGAAAUCACACUAAUUUCUCUCAGUAUACUCUGCAGAGAAAUAAGUACUGAAGCAGGCUUCACCGAAGACUACUGAUCUAGAAUUGUUUGUUGCUGAAAUAAGUCCAGGAGCGGUGGAGCAGGCUGAACAAUUUUCUGUUGAUUUUACUGAAUGGAUUGUCCCUGUAAUUUGACCAAACGUCAUGUCGCCGUGCCACUGAAGUUUUUGCACAGAAUUCUUGUCUUUUUGGGUGGUGCCAAGCUGUCUUUUUGUUGAACAAUGCCACAAUUGCAUAGUUGUAAGUUAUUUAGGAUUGUCUCUAUUGCAUACGACCUGGAGUUACAAGAGGUCCAGUACUAAUUUUGUGUAUGUAUGUACAUGUGCAGUCACCCAUUUUCUAUACACAAGAUUCCAAAGCAUCUUUUACUGUACAUUUUGUUUCUUUUCUCGGUACAAAAUGUAUUGCAAGUGUUGUUCAUUUUUUCCCUUCUCUAAAUAUACUAGAGACCCUCUAAGGGCUCAGUUUUCUUCCCGUUUGUCUGAAUAUACCCAGAUUUAUUUUGUGUGUGCGUAUUUAACAAAGCAUUUAGUUA
rnacentral:lncRNA from 1 species